rnacentral:lncRNA from 1 species
GGUUUUUUUAUAAUCUUGAAGUUUAUACAAAUGUUGUAAGAAUAAGUGAAAAAUUGAAGAUAUUACAAAUAAUCAAAGCUGGUGUACAGACAAGAUCCAUAUAAAUAAAAAUAACAAAAAAACAUUAUAAACAGUAUCAACAGGUCGAAUUAACAAGAACAUACGAUUUGAGAGUACUCGCAGUUACUGACAGCUAGUUAAAAGCCAAAACCAAUUAAUAAUAAAAAAUCAUGCAUCAGAGACUAAAAUCGACUAAAACACA